UACGUAGGGUGCGAGCGUUGUCCGGAAUUAUUGGGCGUAAAGGGCUCGUAGGCGGUUUGUCGCGUCGGGAGUGAAAUCCACUGGCUUAACUGGUGGCUUGCUUCGAUACGGGCAGACUGGAGGUAUGCAGGGGAGAACGGAAUUCCUGGUGUAGCGGUGAAAUGCGCAGAUAUCAGGAGGAACACCGGUGGCGAAGGCGGUUCUCUGGGCAUUACCUGACGCUGAGGCGCGAAAGCUAGGGGAGCAAACAGG
rnacentral:rRNA from 1 species